CAGCAGCCGCGGGAAUACAUAGGUGGCAAGCGUUGUCCGGAAUUAUUGGGCGUAAAGGGCUCGCAGGCGGUUUCUUAAGUCUGGUGUGAAAGCCCCCGGCUCAACCGGGGAGGGUCAUUGGAAACUGGGAAACUUGAGUGCAGAAGAGGAGAGCGGAAUUCCACGUGUAGCGGUGAAAUGCGUAGAGAUGUGGAGGAACACCAGUGGCGAAGGCGACUCUCUGGUCUGUAACUGACGCUGAGGAGCGAAAGCGUGGGGAGCGAACAGGAUUAGAUACCCCAGUAGUCCCUGUCUCUUAUAC
rnacentral:rRNA from 1 species